rnacentral:misc_RNA from 1 species
UGACUGGAGCAACUGUAGUAUUCUUUGCGUAUGUUGGGUUUGAUGCAGUUGCUAAUUCUGCGGAAGAGUCUAAAAGCCCACAAAGAGACUUGCCGUUGGGCAUAAUCGGGAGCCUGCUUAUUUGUAUUGCAUUAUAUGUUGGAGUCUGCUUGGUGCUCACUGGGAUGCUUCCAUACAAGUCACUUGGUGGGGAUGCUCCCCUGGCUGAUGCUUUUACAUCAAAGGGCUUGCAAUAUGUGUCUGUAUUAAUUAGCAUUGGCGCUAUUGCUGGACUUACUACCACUCUCCUGGUUGGGCUUUAUGUACAGUCCCGUCUAUAUCUUGGCCUUGGAAGAGACGGUUUGUUACCAUCACUGUUUGGUGAAGUACAUCAAACUCGACACACUCCUGUUCAUUCACAAAUUUGGGUUGGAAUUGUUGCCAGUGUCUUAGCAGGAUGCUUUAAUGUGCACAUUCUCUCGCACAUUCUCUCAGUAGGAACCCUGACAGGAUAUUCUGUUGUUUCAGCAUGUGUUGUGACUCUUCGCUGGAAGGAUAAGACUGCCUGUCAGGUGUUUGGCAAGUCUAUUUCUAGCAGGGCAGAAGGCCUCAUGUGCCUCAUUACAGUUGUCUGUUGCGGGUUUGCUGCAGGAGUCUUUUACCGUUUUGGAGCUUCACUUAUAUUCGUGAUCAUAGCUGUAUUUAUUGCAAUCUUGGCAGCUGCUGCUCUUCAUUUCCGUCAAGUUAAUACUAGUACACCAGGAUUUUCUUGCCCAGGAGUCCCCAUUCUGCCUACGGUUUGCAUCUUCAUCAAUAUUUUUCUGUUUGCCCAGUUGCAUUAUGAAGCAUGGGUGAGAUUUGUUGUUCUCAGCAUUGUUACAGUUGGGAUGUAUGCAGUAUACGGGCAAUAUCAUGCCAAUCCUCUAAGUUCAAACACAUUAAUCAUUUACCAAAAAGCACCUACAGAAGCUGAUUAAUGAAACCUCCUAAUGGUUCUUACUGAACCUAGACUAUAAUUUUAUCAACUGUAAGUAUCUUGACGCUUUUCUUUCCAAUAAAAGCUACACACAAUUGUAUUCGUCAGGAGUUGUUGUAUCAUGGUGCGUAUAUAUGUAAAGUUAUUUUGUAAUCUUACAACUUAGUGUUGUAGUUGAAAGCCUGGUGCUGUUUUGAAUAACUACACUGUAAUUGUACAACACCAUUUCCCUGGUGGAUUUCAAUAGAACUUUG